rnacentral:tRNA from 1 species
ACGUCCCCAUGUUCCAAGGCUGGCGAAUGAGUCUCCAAAACUCGUUGUGGAAGGUUCGAUUCCUUCGGGGCGUG